rnacentral:pre_miRNA from 1 species
GGGCACCCCAGAGGAGUGGCACCUGAGAACACAGGUGGUUGUGCUGCUGUACCACCAAGCAACUGAUGCACCUGUUACCUGUGUUCUCAGGUCACCCCUUUGGGGAACCC